rnacentral:misc_RNA from 1 species
AACACUUGAGAUCCCAUUUUAGCUGGAAAAGAAAUUACAAUACCAGCAAAAGUAUGCAUUACAUGCAUGCACUUACACGUUACACUUUUAGAGAAUAAGUUGUGAAUAACAAAAUCAAUACUGUUGGACUUAAGAAGUGCUAAAACAACAGUUAGCGCAAUAUGAUAAUAUUUACACGCAAGUUCUAAUCAAAGCAUUAAG